CCUCUAUCCUGCCAGUGAAGGCCAUAUUAAAUAUGAAUUAAUGUUUCAGCUCAGUUCUCAUGAAUACAAAUGAGAAGGGUGUGUGGACCCAAGAGAGCAAGGAAAGACACCCAGUCUGCUUCCCACACCUGCCUGGACCUGAAAACACACGCUCACACCCUGACACACAUGCAUAGUCACACAGAGCCACUCGCUUUCACACCCUCCCUCACAGCUGGUGCCUAAGGCUAGGACAGCACUCACAGGACAGCCCCCUCGAGGGACCUCACCAUCUCCCCGAGCUCCCCAUCUUUCCAGCCUCCAUUCCCCAGCUCCCUACCCCGACUCCCCCUGCUCUGAGCUGGGACCCCUUCCAGGCAGAGGCCUCUCUAGGCUCAGCCCUGGACCUGCCAACUCUCCCGCUGCUGCCUGCACACCCCUGCCCGCCCCUCCACUCCCUCUGAACUUGACUCCGCCUCCCCUUCCCAGUUUCUUCCUCUUCCCCGCUCUCUCCUUUUGUCUCUCCCUCCCCUCCUCCCUCUGUGUUCUCUUUCCUUUUCAUGUCUCUUGGUGUCUCUACCUUGAUCUGGCCUCUGGUCUCAUUCCCGUCUGACUGCCCUUCAUCCUGUGCUGUCUGACUGUCGUCUGACCGUCUGCCCUCUCGGAACCUCCAUCCACCUGCCCCCUCUGUGUCCCUCUCUCCCAGAAUGUCUCCAGCUCUCUUUCUCUCUCUCUCUCCCCACUACCCCUUAUCCUUGCCCUUCCCCACAUUCUUCCUUCAGGUCCUUGGCGAGUUGUGGGCUCCUCAGCCCAGACACUCAGGAGUCCAAAAGCAGCUCCCACCUUCUCUCUCAGGGGGCAAGGAUGCACACCAGGGCAGCCGCCUCAGUCUCCUCACCGGCCAACCAGUGGACUCGUCCACCAGGCUGAGACACUCUCCUUGUUGCCAGUUUAAUUGCUAUACACACUUGUACUGAGCAGCCCCGUCCCCACAUGGAGCCCGGGUGAGGCCUGGGUUGAAGCCAGCAAAGCUCUGGAUCCACACAGCCCUGGUUCAGGUGCCCUCCACGCCAUGAGCAUGCACCUCCACCUCUGAGUCUCCAUUUCCUCAUCUGUAAAAUGGGGACAGGAGAGUUGGCCUGAAAGGGCUGUGUUAGGUUCAGGUGAGCUAAAGCGGGCAGAGUGCCCGAUGUUCUGUCUGACACACAGUCAGUGCCUAGGGGUGGAUGUGGGUGACAGAAGAUGUGGGCUCUGACCUCAGAGGACCCACAGCCCAGUGGAAGGCCGAUGACUGCGAGUAUCCACUCCCUCGGGCUCUGGGGAGCUAUAGAGCCAUGAUCAGAGCCUUUUGGCCACAGAAGUCAGUACAUGAGGGCAGACUGAGGUGCCAGGGGUCAGGAGUCAUGGGGAAGAGGUCGGCCUCGGGAGGCUUUGGAGGGCCUCCGUCCUCCAGCAAUGCUGGGGCUAGGCCUCAGCGGGAGCCAUAGCUGGGGAUUCGGCCUAAGGCCUGGUCAGCUUACAGUUUGUCAAUCUAGGAGAUCUUAAGCACUUGUGGUCUGCCCCUCUCCCUUCCGCCAGGGCUAGAGUCAUGCAGGUUUGGAUUGGCAUCCCCAGCAGGUAUGGGAUGAGCCACCCUGCCUCCUCCAGAGUCCACAUCAUCCACCUGUCAUCUCUGUCCCACGCUGGCCAUAGGGGGCCUGACUUGUUCCGAAUGAACGGACUUCAGAAUAUGGGUUCUGAAGGGCCAGAGUGGUCCUCUGGUGUGGCAUUACCCCAUUUCUGUGUCCUAGAGCCACACCCAUCAUCUCUGAGCCUCUGUUUCCUCAUCAGAGCCUUUGAAUAGAUUACACGAGGGGCUGCAGCCCAGAGUGGGCAUUGGGGGGCUGCAGAUGUGUCUGAGGAUCUGGGAGGCUGAGCCUGGUGAGAGAGAAGACAAAAGAAUGGAGUGAGCUGAAGAAGCUGCCGGGUGGGAGGCUGGGCCCAUUUGUAUGCGGCAGGAGCAGGAGCCCAGCAAGGCGGCUCUUCAGAGGAGUCUUAAUUCCCAGGGCAUUGGAGGGAGCACUGCCAUGUCCAUGCCUGCGGAGCUCUCCCCAACACACCACCCUGCCCAGCCCUAACUGUACAGGUGGAAACCAAUGCUGAGAAGCCACCCAACAAGUGAAUGGCAGAGCUGGGACUAGAACCCUAGACCAAUGUUCUUCCCAUCAUUCGAGUGCCUCUGGGGACCCCAACCAAGUGCUGAAUUUGGUAAACAAAGGCACGAAUCAUGAGCGUUGAUGUGUAUAAAGUGCACUAGGCAAACAUUUUAUGAUACCUCAGUAAUCCUCACACAACCUGCAAAGCGUAUGCCGUUUUGAUCAUCCCCCUUUAGAGAUGGGAAAAGUGAGGCACAGAGAGGUGUCAUACAGCUAGUAAGAGGCAGAGCCAGGGUUCAAACCCAGGCCAGCUGUUGCCAGUCUGUGCUCACACUGUACCACGCAGCCUCUUAGAAUUCGAAAUCCUUGAAACUCGGUGGCUGUUACAUCUCUGUUCCUCCUAUUCUGAGCACGGGCCAGGCACAUAGCAAGUGCUCAGCAAUGCUUGCUGAGUGAGUGAACGAAUGAGAGAGAGGGGGGCUCCUCCAGAGGACAUCUUCCCAGACCCCGGGAGUCCAGCUCUCUCAGCAUGGUCCUACUGCUUGUUCUUGGCCCCCAUCGCCACCCCCACAGGCAGGUGUUGGCCGUGCCCUCCAAGGGGCCAGGCCCCACAGGGACAAAGCCAGGGCCUCGCCUGGGCGGCGCAGCCCCAGCACAGGCUGAAGCUGCUAACAGGCUGGAAAUCUCUUUUGUCAAAGCCUGCGCUGCCUUCAACCUCCUUUAAUUAAAGACAAUUAGUGCUUUCAGCCCCUCUGCACAGCUCAGCUCCCCUGUUUGCAAACACACAGCUGCGGGAGCUUUGUGGGCCCCCCCUCGCCGCCGCCCCAGCCCCGCUUCCCCAGAGACACACAGAGGUGCCUUUAUUAUCGGCACUCAGGCUGCAACACCAAGAGGUGGGCGCCUCUGCUGAAGGGAAGGAAGUAUGGGAGCACUUCCCAGCAAGGCAGGGAAGCGGAGAGAGCUCAGGACCCUGGGGUGGCCUGGCACAUGUCAGCCAUGGGUCUCACUCUUCAUGGAACAGCCUGUGGGCACCAAGUCCAGCUGGGGCAGCUUAGGGAGACGUGCCACCUUCCUUUCUUCCUUUCUGUCUUGGUUCUCUGAACCCUGCUUUGAAUUCGAGCUGCCCAUGUGUUUUCUUUCAGGACCUGAUGCCUGAUCUGGGCACUGCAGGGCUCUGAGUGCUACCUUAGGAAGGAAGGAAAGGGGAGAAAUGGCUUUUACCGACCACAUGCUGUGUGCUAGGACUCUCUCUCUGUGCAGCAUGAUUCUGAGGUUUCCCCAUUUUAUAGACAGAUACUAAGGCUCAGAAUGGCUCAGUAACUUGGACAAGCACGGCUAGGAAGUAGCAGAGCCGGCAUACAAGACCAGGCCUUCUGACCUUAGCAUACUAGUUGGAUCUAAGCAUCCUAGGAGCCUAACCUCUUAGAGGUCAGAAGGUUACCUUGUCUAGCUCCCAGCCUGCCUCAGCCCCUAUGGACUGAGUCUGUGCCAUGGGCCAGGCAAUCUCUGGCACCUCUGGGUAGUGACAAGGACACGGACACAGUCGUGCUCUCCAGGAGCUCCUAGACGGAGGGAAGAUACCUCAGACAGACCUGUGCACAAUGGCAGUGCCCUGCCAUAGCAGAAGGCACUACACAUUUCUCUGGCAGCACAGAGGUGGGAGUUACUGCAGAGAGAGGCAGGCACAUUUGAACUAGUACUUAGUGAUGAAUAGUUAUUCUCACAAAAGAGGACAAUGGGCAGGUGCAUUCUAGGCAAAGGCCAGGGGUAUAAAAGAAAAGCAAAUUUCAAGAAACUUAAGCAGUUCAGGCAGGAAAGGGGUCAUUGUACCCAUCACAGAUAUGGGGACAGAGGCCCAGGUGGGCUGAGAGGCUAUCUAAGGUCCCACAACAAGCAGUGCUGAAAAGAGCCUGGCUGGCCUCUGAAAGCAGUACUGCACCCACCUCCCCUUCUCAGCACAGCUCUAAAGUGGCAUCGCUUUUGUGACUAGUUGAUGAGAGUCUUUCCCAUUGGACUUGACCAAUGGGAAGCUGUAUCUGUUUUUUGCUCACUUUUAUAUCCUGGGGCCUAGCCCCAUCUUGGCACGGAGGAGGAGCUCAAUAAAGAUCUGCUGAGUAAAUGAAAUGUCCCAAUGAAGGCAUGAGAUGGGCCUUCUGGCUGCCACUCUCCCUUCCUGGGCCCAGACAGACAUCACUAAUCCAUCACCGCACUCUCCAGCCAGUCCAGAAGGACUGCCGGCAGACUGCUUAGAGCUGAUGUGUGUGGUGAAAUUUAUGUCACUGCAGAGUCAAGUCCAGACUGACACUUUGCAGGUGAGAACUUCCAAGUAGGAUGCUUCCAAAUGGGGAGGAAGGGAACGAUGAUGAUAAUGGCUUAACGUUUACUGUGAUUUCCACGUAUUAGGCACAGUUCUAAGCUCUUAACAUAUAUUUAAUUCCCUAUCACCCCUAUGACAUGGGUAGUAUUCUUCCUCUCAUCUCACAGAAGGAGAAGCAGAGGCACACACAUCACUAACUUGCAGGGCCAGGAUUCAAAACCAAGGAGCCUCGUUCCAGAGUCAUGCUCUCAACUGCUACACAUCACUGCUCCUCUAUUGGUGUGGGACCUCCUGGCCCCCAGGGCUGGCCACCCCAAGGGCUGAUGUGCAUCCAGCCUUGCUAUGAGGCCCUGGCUUCCUCCCCACCAAUGGAGACCCAAAAGUUAGAGUUAGAGCUGACAGGGACAGGCUGGGCCUGGGAUCCAUCUGCCUUUCGGCAGCUCCGGGCCCACUUCCUCCAGCCUGGACAGCUUCCCAGUGGUGCCUCUGCAGGCCCUUUCAAGUCCCCUGGCACCCCCAGCCCCACUUCCUGCGACCCCUGGCCCCGGCCUGACCCGCUCCACUCAAUUUCCCAAGAUGAGUUGCAGAAGCUGCCGGGUCUGUGUGCAGAAACGGGAAAAUUAACGAGCUGCUCCCUGGCAAUUGGCGGUUUCCAGGCACCAGCUGGCCUGGAGUAUUUACUCGGCACCCUCGGAGCAAGACAAUUAAGUGGAGCUUAGGCCGGGGUGCAGAGAUGUCUACAGAUCAGACGGAAACCCUCCUAAGGUGUUUUUCCAAGGGAUCAGUGCCUGAGAACAAGUUUUCAGGGAACGGGAGAAUUUAUUCAUUCUUAAUCAUAUAUGACAUAUUAAUACAUAUAAUAUAUAUUAUAUAUAUAUUCAUUUAUUUAGCAUUUACUAUGUGCCAGGCUCCUUACUUGAGUUAUCUUGUUGAAUCCUCACCUUUUCUCUGCAAGGUGUCCAUAGUUACUCUUAUUUUAUAGAUGAGAAGACUGAGGCCCAGCAAGGUUAGAGACGUCUCUCAGGUAACACAGGGGAGCUGGGAUUUACAUGCCGGUCUAUCUGACUCCAAGCUUCUGCUUCUUGUCAUUGAACAAGUUUCCUUCCCGGCCUUUGAGCAUAUAUAGCACUGUGUUAGGCACCAAGGAUGAGCCAGUAGCAAGAGAAGACCCGGGGUGCGCUGUGCACCUACUCUGCGCCAGGCACAGAAAAGAGCAAGAGUAUGAGAUCCCUUCCCUGCCCUGAGAAGUUCAGUGUUAGAGGUAUAUGCUGUACGAGACAUUGAGCCCAGGAAGGUCUGACCGGUUCAAAUCGGUCCUGAAGAUGGGGCAGGACUUCACUGAGGAAACAAACCUUGUUUGGGGCUUUGAAGGCUGAAUAGGAAUCUGCCAGAUAAAGAUGGGUCAAGGAGUAUUCCAGGGGGAGAAUUCAGCAUAAACACUGCAGUGCUGUAGGUGCUAGGGAAGUAGCCCAGAGUUUAGUGUGAUGUUUGGUGAGAUCGUUGGGGUGGGGUAGGAGACGCAGAGCGGAUGGUUAGGACAGAUGGAAAAGGACCUCGAAGGCCUGGUUAAGCAGGUUGGACUGGGUUACUCUUGUGCCGGAGACCUGGGCACCAGCCAAAAAGAGGAGGCAUAGGAGAUGGGAGCGGGAGCCCGGAUGCUGCCAACACCAUUCUAUGGCAGGAAACCGCCCAGCUCAGUAGGGGUCCCCGGUCCUCUGGCGUUGUCUCCUGCUCCCUGGCCUCAUGGUGGUGAGGGGGAAAGAGGGAGUAAGCUGGUUGCUCAGCCUCUGAGUCACCUUUUCCUUGCUGUCUUCCAUGUGCUUCAAAUCCAUCUGUCUUCCCCCACCUCCCAAAUAAGGUCAUUUUACUAAUUCACUCUGUGACCUGGGGCAAGUCUCUUCUCUACCCUUAGGCUCUACCCAAAAGUUAAAGAAGGAACCAAACCAGAGGCCCUUAACCUCUGCCUCCCAAAGUUCUCUGAGAAAAUGAGGAGAAAAGCUCUGCCUCUCGGGAGUUUCCCAGUGGGUGGGAUGGGGGCAGGGAGUUCGAGGACUUCCUGUGACAACCAACUCCAACAGAGCUGUCAAGGCAGAAAGUUUAUCUUCUAACCUCUCUGCUUCCCCAUCCCCCCGCCCCCCACCAUCCAGGCCCCAUCUUACUCCUCAUCACCUACUCGUCCUUGAGGUGUCACUUAGUCCCUGUCAUCCCACCCCCAAGGCUGGAAAAGCUCAAAUGGGGAACUUUCAGACAUCCUGACCUACCAAAUAGGGUAUAUAUUUAUGCAGGGGUCCUGGCAACCCCCAAUUCCCCUCCCCAAUUCCACCCAACUCACUGACAGCCCCUAAGUGGCCUCUUAUUAAAAUGUCCUGUUCUCUGCCUUUGAGGGUAAGGUGACAAGGGCCUAAACUGGGUUGUCGGAAGAAACAAACAGGGUCUGGUCUCAGCUUGACAGUCCACUUGCUGUGUGACUCAGAGUGAGUUCCUUGCCGUCUCUGAACCUCUAUUUUCUCAUCUGUACAAUGAGGGGGGUUGGAUAGGUGAAUGGUUCUUAGCUCCAUGUUGGUCUGAGGAAGAGCCCAGCCAUCCUGUGCUUUGAGCACUGCUGAUACAGGAGAUCCCCGAGGGCCAAGUUCAGCUCCAACACUUGUGAACUUUGCUUCUCCUUUGACCCGGGUUUGACCCCUCAUGCCCUGGCGAUCAGGACCACAGAGCCCUUCAGCAUCAGCCCCAUCAGCCCGCCACACUUGGGAUGUUCAGACCAGAAUGUCACCUUUUCCCCUCACUUUCACUGUCAAUGUGGCUUUUCCUGAGCCAGUCCAUCCUCGUGGGUGGCCUGGGUGAGAUAAGGGGCUAAAAAUAACCCUGCCUGGGCACUGGGGACAGAGGGCAAAAACUGUGUACAGGAGGCCAAGGGGAAUGAGCCUGCAGAGUCAGACUGGACCUUAAAUCUCAGCCCCUGCCCCGCUUAUCUGUGUGGUCCUGGACAAGUCAGUUCACCUCUGGGCCCUGGAUAUUUGUGAAAUGCAGGCAUGGCACCAACCUCUCCCAACAUUGGGAGGAAAGUGAAAUAUUAGAGAAUUUAGGCACCACCAGUCAGUGUCAUCUUGCCCCAGAAGUCCUUCCUGGCUUGGGAGAGAAGAUUUCGAAGCUACAGUCUUGUGGGGGUCAGGGUGGGAGGUGCCCAGAGCCUCUUGGGGGCCCCCGGCCCACCUGGGGAUUUUCCGAUCAGUUUCUACUUGUAGUGGGCAGCAGUGAUGUCGGUGAAAUCAUGGAACACGUUUUGUAAGAAAAUUCAUAAGGAACGGAUGGAGAUGGAAAUUAUGAGCCCUUGGAAACCAGAGGGAGAAGGGGUUGUGAGGUUGGUGCUCAGAGGUGCCAGACCCACCCGAUUGAGUCGGGGGUGGCGGUCUUUCAGAAUGAAAGAAGUUGGGAGCAGGGGCUGUAGAGAAUGCGAUGGUGUUGCCAGUGAAAGCAGUAGGACUGUCCAGGCCCAGCCAGCGAAGGAGAGGGAUGUGGCACCAAAGUAAGAAGAACGUUCCACGUUGCUAGUCGCUGGCCUCAGCUUCUCUGACCCUUAGUGUCCUCACCUGUGAACAGGUGUGCAACAAUUGUGAGGAUUAAAGGAGGCCUAGGGCCAAGCCUGGCGUUGCAGGGCUCCACGAACAGUAGCAUCUUCAUCAGGGGUGGGAAUGAAAAGUUGCUGCUCACCCCAUCUGAGAUUCUGCCAGCACCCUGUACCCAGCAGGAGUUGGGUGAGUGUUGGCAGAAUGGCCAGAUUGAUGCAUUGUUAGAUGGAUGGACAGAAAAAGAGAUGAAUGACUACAGGCUAUACUCCCUGGGCACAGGCACUUAAAUCUGCGUUUUAUGUUUUUCUUCUAUUAUCCACAAGCCCCUAGCCAGCAGCUAAUAUCUAGUAGUACCCUUUUAAUUAAUUAUUUGUAAUUUAUUAUAAUUAGGCAUAUUAUAUUAGGUACUAACAUAAUGGUUCAAUAUUGUAAUCCAUUAUAGUUCUUUAAUUAAUGUCCACCACCUACCUACUACUUUUUUGUUUACAAAGCACAUCUACACUUAUCAACUCUCUUCAUCCUCACAACCUGUCAAGCAGGUCCUUCUGUUUUUCAGAUGGGGAAAUCCAAGCUCUGAUAGGUUGAGUAAUUUGUCAAAGGUCACACAGCUCAUAAGUGGCAAAGCCAGAAUUCAAACUCAGGGUCUUUUGUCAUUGUGGGGCAUUCAUUUCCUAUUGGAGUGGAUCAUUCUGGGUGGGACAUUUUAGACAGUUUGGAGCCUGACAUGAAGGUAUAGAGGAGAGGAGAGAGGCAUUAGGGGUGUGAUCAAGAGAAAUGGGGUGAAGUUGGGCAACUCAGAGAUCAAAGGCUGAGGGUAGGGACAGCUCUAAACCUAUUCCAGGGUGUGGUUUAGCUCCCUGUGGAGACAUGAAGGGCCUAUGCCACAGGAGGUCGACCUAGAGACUGACAUUUGGGAUCGGUGCUGGUGGUAGGAGGGCCAGCUAGAAGGCAGCAGCGGGCACCACAGGCCUCGGUGGAUGAGUAGACAUGCCCACAUUUUCCUGGAUAAAGUGCACGGGUGCUGGCAUCACUGUCCACUGGCCAUGUGACCUCAGCAAGUGACUUCAACCCCUGGAACUUGGUUUCCUUCUGCACAAUGAAAGCUGCAAUGAGAGAAGUCAGAGGGUCUUCACCUCCAGAGCCCUUAGCACAGGAGCACUCGGGGCUCCAUGGUUGGUCUUCCUAUCAGGUACCAGUAUUCUAUUCCACUUCCAGCCCCUUCACCUUCCACCCUGAAAUAUGACCCAGCACUCCCUAGACCACACCCCUAGGUCUGAGGUUCAGAAAGAAUAGUCACCAUGUGUAUACAUUUGGUCUUAUUUAUUUACUGAGGACCUACUGAACGCUAACCUUGAGCUGGGCUUAGCGAACAUAGUGCACAGUGUCAGUUACUCAAGCUUGGGAAGCAAGUAAAUAGACUAUUGCAGUUCAAUAUGCUGAGGGCACUAUGCAGGUAGACAUUCAGGGCACAGUGGGAGCAGGAGGAAGGGGCCCCUGAUGCUGCCAAGAGUAGGUGGCCCUAUGCUCCUCUGCAGCGGUGAUGCUGAAAAGGAGAGGUCAAUGGAGGAGAACUGGCAUCUGCUUUGUAUCAUGCUAUCUUUUCUAUCCAUUUCUCAGUCAGGCAGUGAAAUGUCAUUAUUAUAUCCUCCUCAUUCUCACUUUACAGAUGAAGACACUGAGGCUCAGAGAGGUGAGUGAACUUGCUCAAAGUCACACAGCCAAGAAGCUGUGGUGCAUCUACUUCCAAAGCUGCCAAGGUUGGGUAGGUGGGCCAAGGAAGAGCCCGAGGAUAGUGUGAGGAAGCAGGAGCUCAAUCCUAGCAGCCCAGAAACAGCAUCCUCGCCAGGCCAGCCAAAGCCACUGGCAGCCGUGCUUUACAAGGCGCGGGGCUGGCCUGAGAUAUUUUGCCUCACAAAUGCACGCUGGCUCAUCUGGGGUGAGUUUGCGCCUUUAUGAGUGUUCUUCAAAAGCCCGGCUCGGCUCCAUGGCUGUCACCAUGGAAACGGCUCUGGGUGGCUGAAACCGACCGCCCUCCGUGACCACGCGUGAAGGCUGCCAGGUGCUGGGGCCAGGGCCACGCUGAGUGGGGCACCCGUAGAGGCCUUUCGUGAGACACUUAAGGACAAGGAGGUGGGGGUUUAAAUCCAGGUCCCAUGUAAAGUGAAAAGAUGAAGUCCCUUUCAUUGGCAUCAGAGCCCCAUGGGCUGGGGGCUCCUCUCUCAGCACCCUGUGUGCCUUUCCCCAGCCCUCCACCCUCGGGAUCUGGAUAGGCUAAAACCAGGCAGUGUGGGGGAGGAGGGACUGGAUUUGAAUCCUAGAGACUGGCUGCACACCCACACUCCCUAAAACUCUCACCCCAAAAUCCCAUUUUGUAAUUGCAGAAACCAAGGCCCAGAGAGAAGUGAUUUGCCCAAGGUCACCCAUCAAAGUGGAGGCCAGAUAAAGCCUUUUUGCCCCCUGCUCUGAGUCCAGUGCUCAUUCCAGGCCACCAUGAAGCUGCUCAGUCAGACCCGAGGUGUGACUGGGCUCCACUUCAGGCCAAGGCCAGGGUGUAGCCAGGCCACAUUCGGAGGAGGACUUGCCGGCUACGAAGACGGCCUGAGCUUCAUGUUGGCCCCCAGCCUUUCUUGGCUUUCAAUUUUGGUCCAACUCUCAGGGGCUGUUCAAAGAUUCCAAAGGCAUUUGAACAUUUUGGAAGCAAUUUGUCAGUCCUGGAAGCUGUUUGGAGGCUCCAAAAACGAUUUAAAUGUUCCAGAAUCUGUUGGCUUUGCAAAGGCUGUUGUUCAUGGUUUCCAGAGUGGUUUGAGGUCCCAGGUGAAGAUCCCCAAGGAGGUGUGGGGGUACGGGGCCAGAGCAUGCCGACAGCUCUGGGUGGCACUGGAGGCGGAGCUCCGGGCAGCGAGUGCUCCCUGCUUUCUCCUAGGACUCGGCCUGUGAAGCCAUCAAGUCCAUCAGGGCAUCUGCUAUUCCGAGGAGCAGAAGAUGUAUGGGCGUUGGCAGCAAAGGGAACCCAGCUUUACCAUUCACAGGCUAUGUGACCCGAGGCCAAUUACUUAACCUCUUCAGGCCCCCUUUACCUCCUUCUGUAAAAUGGGGGUAAUAGCAACUCUUCUGCAAACCUGGCCACCUCCCCCCACCCCCACCACCUCAGCUCAGGUGUUCGUGGGAUUAGUCAGAGAACACAUCCCUCCAUGGCUGAUUAACAACUUCUCAACUGCUCCUGGGAGUGGAUUUGGGGGUCUCUAUCCAGGGUGGAAGCCUAACCUACAGUAAUUGGCCUGCCAGCCCUCCUCAGACAAGCUCUCCCUGACCCUGAGUCCCAUCCCUACCAUGUCCUGUCAUGAGGGAGGAGCCAUGGGCUGGUCUGAAGGCCCUGGUUAACCAGAAAGCCCAUACCUGCACAUGCCCCCAUGGUCAUAGUACUGUCAUAGUACUGGUCCUGCCCUUUCUGGUCAUAGUACUGUCCUGCCUUUUGCCUUUUUCAUAUUCCACUACCAUUCCCCAUAUUCCUCCCUCCAGCCUCAUCAUUGGCUCAACUACCCUAUCCAUACCCACCUGUACCUUAUGUCUUGAAUUUGCCAUUCCCUCCAUCUGGAAUGCCUAUUCCCACUCUGACACAUGUACAUGUGCAUGCACGUGUGCACACACAUGCACACCAUAGCCUUCCUGGAUCCCCUUGACCUCUAGCCCCCACUGCCUUGCUCAUGUCACUGACCAGAGUGGUACAGUCCACUAUCUAGGUCUGUUAGCUCCUAGGCUGAAACUCUUGCUACCUAGUGACUCCCCACAAUACCAGUAUGGGAUGGUCAUAGGUGUAGUCAGACAGACCUAAGGCCUGGCUGGGCCUCUUAUCUGCAGUGUGGCCUUGGGCAGGCUCAUAGCUAGACCUCCUGAGCCUCAGUUUCCCCCCCUCUAUAAAGUAAAAAUGAUAAGCCAUGCUCCGCCUGACUCCCAGAGUGGUUGAGGGUCAAAUAAGGUGAUGAUAAGAACAAGGCAUACAAACUCCAAAGUGAUGAGGCCUGUGGUGGCUGAGUGAUUUACCUAAGGUCAUCUGGGAAGUUGGCACCAAACCAGGACCUCAGUUCAAGGCUCCUGUGAGGGCACUGAUGAGGGCUUCAACCCGUGGAGCCCCGGACCAUACUAGAGACCUGUCUGGGAAGUUUUGCUUUACUGCAACUCCCUGACCCACUUGCGGAGCUGCAGGCUGGCAGGCUGGCUGCCAGCUGAGGUGAUCUACUGGCAGCUGACUGAUGCGCUAAAUGCAUCGUGCCUUCUGGAAGACAGGAAGAUCGAUACUGUAGGUGGGCAGCUUCCCUCAAUGCCACAGUCAACCCCCAAGGGUGGGAAUGGGCCAAGAAUAAAUACAGCCAGGCCCGCUCCCUCCACAGGGUCAGUCCCGGCCAGGCCGGAAUGAUGUAGAUUUGAUGGGGCCACCUGUGGCAUUAUCAUUGUCAUCAUCAUCAUACCAAGCAACAUUAUUGUGCCACUCACUGUUCUAAGUUUGUUGUUGGUUUGUUUUUAACAUAUGUUAACUCUUUGGAACCUUGCAAACACCCUGUGAGGCAGGUGCUGAUAUUAUCCCCAUUUUACAGAUGAAAUGUGCUACAGAGAGGAUUAAUGACUCGCCCAGGGUCUCACAGCUAGAAAGUAUCCCGGCCAGGAUCAGAGCCCAUGCAAUUGCUAGAAUAUUCUGCUGCUUUUUCAGUUAUACAGAAGAUUGUGGCCACCCACCCCACACACAACCACGGGCUCCUUCCUACUCAUAAUGCCCACUCAGGGCCUUGUCUCCAGCCCUCUCUGUGCUCUGCUCGUGGGGCUUUGGCUCUUGAGCUAUUAUUAUCAGGGCUUAGAAUGUGCUUGAUCCAGGUGCUCCUUGACAGGACGGGGGAAGCACCUCCCCAGAAGGUACUCAUGCUUAGCCUCAUCCUGCUAGAGCUCAGAACGAGCAGGGUCAAGGUGGGCCUGGUGCCCAUGGUCACUCUGGGCAUGGGAAACCGCCCUCUCCCCACCCUCUUCCUGGCUGGCUUGAAUUCUCAGGAGCCUAAACUCUGGACUGGAGUGGUCUCAUUCUCACUGCCCAUCUGCCAAAGGAUGGCAUACCCGUAGCCACAGAUGGGCCGGCCUGAGGUUUUGUCUACCCCAUCCCUCACCGGAGAAACCCAGCCUCAAACUUCCUGGGGUUAGAGUGGGAGUGGGGACAGAUGGUCAGGGCACAAGAUGUGGAGCUGCUGAGUGUCGAGGGCCCAGCCCUUUGAUCUUCUCCCUAAAGGGCAGCUCGAGUGGUAGGAAAUGUGUGGGCUUUGGGUUAAACCCAUCUGGGCCCCUCCUGGCUGUGUGACCUUGGAUAAGACACUUAACCUCUCUGAGCCUCAGUCUAUCACCUCCCUUUUACCUUUCUCUGAUCCAGGUGGCCUGUCUGCAUUCAAGGUCAUUGUGCUCAUCUCUUCAAUCCCUCAAGUCCAGUAUACCUGGCCAGCCCCCCAUGGUCUGUUCCCUCAGUCUCACCCCCAAGUCAUCCUCCAGUCCUCCUUCACCCUUGUGCCUGCCAUGCAGCAGACACCAAUCCUGUUUAAUUUCCCUCCUAAAUAUCUGAGAAGUCAUCUCUUCUUCAGGCCACCCUACUUCCCUGUCUUGGUCCAAGCCUUGUCGUCUCUCUUCUGGGUUUGUGCAGCAGCCUCCUGACUGUUCCCCGCCUUCCCCCUUUUCCAUCAAUCCAUUCCCCUCUGGCAGUUCCACUACCAUCUUUCUAAAAUGGAAAUCUGGCCAUGGUAUGUGUCUACCUAAGACACAUUCUGAUUGCACACGAGACAAACCUCAAACUCCAUCCCAUCCUAUGAGGCAGGCCCAUCGCCGUUGGGCCCCGGCCUCUUCUUCCCUUAGCACCCCUCGGCCUCCAGCCGCCCUUCGGCUUGCAUGUGCUUGCGUGGUCCUACCUCUAAGCCUGCGUACAUGCUGUUCUUGGGGCCUAGAAUUCCCUUCUUUCUUCAUCCUCCUCCUCACCAUCUGUCUAACAUCCAUUAAUCCUUCAGGUCUCGGUUUUGGUGUCAUCUUCGGAAACCCUUCCUUAACCACCACUCCCCAAGACUGGAAUAUCGGCCACCCUGAGCUCCUCACACACCCUGUCCCAGCAGCUGUCCCUCUGAAUAGUCAUUGUCUAUUAACACGUCUCCCAACCCACUAGGUGGGGUCUCCAUGCCCAAGCUCAGAAAUGGCCCCAGUAAGUGAGAGCGAAUGUCCCUUUCACCCCACUCCAGCUCCUCCUGACUCAGGGUAAAUCUCACUUCCCAACUCACCAGACAGCUAGUCAAGUUCGAGUCCCAGCUUUCCCAGGGCUGCACAGUGAGACUGCAGGCCAGUGCCUCCCCGUCUCUGUGCCUUAGCCGCCAAGCAAUAAGUCAAGACUGACCUAGAUAACUUCGCAGGGCCCUAUUAGCCCUUUAGUUCCACGGCUUGAACUCCCAGAAGAUUCCUUGCUCGCUGCUGGCCUUUGUAUCUUUGAAACCCCGUCUCCAGCCACCACUUCUCACAACCUCUGUUUGGGCCUCUCUGGUGACACUUUCUCUCCCUUUCUGCCUCCAGAUUUACUGUGAAGACUGAGGCCCCCUUUAUACAACUCCAGAUCCAGGUCGAAGGGCAGGCCCAGAGCCUCCCCAGUCCCCCUACCCAUCCUCCUGUCAGGGGACCCACCAUCUGCACAGCCCCAGUAGAGCCAUUAACUCACCAUGAGUCAAACGAAGCUAUAAAUAAGUAAAAGGGCGAGGGCCCCAAGGGGGCUUGACCUCAGCUGGCUGCCCCGUCUCUGGCCAGAUCUGGGGUCUCGACUGCCCCAGGAUGGACUCAGCCUGACAGAUCUUGACGUGUCAUCACUGUCCCCAGAGAGUGAUGGGUAAAUCACCAGGCCUCUCUGGCCCCCAUUAGUGUCAGUAAUUGCCAAUCAAUUUCCUGGGAUCCUGGUGGGGAGGAGGCCUCUGGGUGUCUCUGGUGGGGAAACCAGUCUAAUGACUUUUAUUUGGAUUGCUGCAAAUUGAUUGUUUUUUUUUUUUAAUGGAGCCUUGGUUUUCCUCCUUGCAUCCUAACCACCCCCUCAGGGGCAGUUAGGCCAAAAGAUGAGUGAUAGCAUGACUUUACUCUCCAGAAGAGCUGAGACCAGGCUGCGUAUACCCACAGCAGUCCUGUAUUCUCUAUUCAACAAUUUCCGAAGUGACAAGCCACAGCACUCAUUUGUCCAGCAGUAACCCCACCCUAGGCCCUUCCUGAGGUUACCAGGUUGAAACCUCGCAGCAACCCUAAUGUGAUGUGCAUCAACAGCCAUAGGGAAAAAAAAUGAGAAACAAUGAGGCAGGCUCAAAAAGGUGGCAAGGCUUGGCUAAGAUCACACAACUAGUAAAUGGUAAAGUUGAAAUUUGAACCCAGCUCUUUCUGGCAUCAAAGCUUUGGUCUUCCCAUUCUUACAUGUACCUCCCAAAGUGUCAUAUAUAUAAAGUGACGAUGAUUCCCCUAAAAGCCAGAAAACUGUAGGAGUCACAGCUUUCACAGAGCUCCCAGGGAAGAGAUUAGCUGAUGAUAAUAAUAAUAAUGGCAACAAUAGCUAUUAUUUACUGAGCCCUUUAUUAUGAAUCAGAGACUGUGUCAAUAGCUUUACAUCUAUAUUUCAUUUCCUCCUUAGAACUAUGCUGGGUAGUAGACAUUAUUAUAACCAUUCCACAGAUUGGGAAACUGAGACUCAAAAGUUAAGUGACUCGCAUAAGAUUGCUCAGAUUGUUAGUGGUAGAACUGGAUUCAAACUAGGUAUAUUUGAAUCCACAGCAUGUGUUUUUAAUCAUCUGUUCCUGAUGGUAUUGCAAGUGACAGAAAACCAAAUGACAAUGACUUAAACAAGAUAAGAGUUUAGUCCCCUCUCAACUAAAUGAAGUCCAGAUGUAAGAAGUCCAAAGCUGAUAUUGAGGCUUCACAAACACAAAGGUCCGAGGCUCCUUCUAUCUUAGUCUCACGAUCUAAGUUGGCUUCUAGAGCUCCAGCCAUCACAUCCACAUUCCAGCCAGCAAGAAAGAGGAAAGGAUAAAGAUAGACAUGCGCCUUUCUUUUAAGGCCACGUCCCAAAAAUUACACCUACCGUUUUUGCUGACAUCUCCUCGGCCAGAACUAAAUCACAUGAUGAUAUCCAUCUGCAAGACAAACAGGAAAUGCAGACUUCAUUCAAGGAGGCCAUAUACCCAGCCUAACAUCAGGGGCUAUUAUUAAGGGAUGAGGAGAGGUCAGAUAUUGGGAUAAUCAUCAGUGACUUCUAUUAGCAUCACUCUAAAAUGACCCUCUAGAUGUAUAGACAGAAUUUUACAAUGCAGUCUGGUGAGUCACCAAGCCCAGCUUCCUGGUAUCCAGAAGAGGAGCUUGAGGCCCAGAGAGGGGAAAUAACUUGCCCAGGAUUGAACAGAAAGUUGGGGCAGAGCCAAGUUCAGAAGCUUGUCUUAGUAAUAAAACCCAAGCUCUUGGCACAACAUCCUCUGUCCCUCCAAUAUUCUGGGACUUUUUCUGGUUCUUGGAUUAUUCCUCUCACUUUUCCAUUUUCCUCUCUCCCUUUCUUGGGCCUUGGGUUAGUGGCACUUUGGAUGCUGCUUUUAGCCCCUGGGUUGAGUAACGGAAGUCUUUAUUCUGUUCCUAACAUCUAUACUAAAGGUGUCUGACCUUGGCCCUUGCUAUUCUGAUCUGAGGAUCUUGAAGGUCUUUUCUGCUCUGACAGUCAGUUUAUGAGGUACUCGGAAGCUAAGGGCAGCUUUUGCUUAGCAAAUGUAACCCUAGUGCUAAUAGAAGUUCAUAUUCUUCUGCCUAUGAGGCUCUAAGGCAGUACUUGUGAGAGGGGAGGACACUGUGGAAGGGGCAAUGGAUCAUGGAUGAGGAGUAAUGGAUAACAUCCUUGGAUGAAGCUGGGAGAAAAGAAUAAUAUUUGUUAGGCAUUUACGAUGUACCAGUUACCAUACUACAAUAAAUGUAAAUAGACUAUA